GAGUUUCCUCCAGGCUCCACGUGAACUGAUGUUCAGAACAGAGAGCUCCAGCAGAAUGAAUUACGGUGUCGGGCUCCCCGUGCAAAGCGGUCGGGACGAAUUCCUCCAACUCUUAUAUUCUGUUUCCACGAUGAACUGCUCACACUGACACGUGUUGUGACGCAUCCACCACGUCUCUUCUGGAUCCAUCAGUUUUGGACGUGGUGACCAUUUCCCCCUUUUGGAAAGGAAACACUACGUUUGGUGAAUUUGCGAACAGAUGAUGAAAAGAAGAAGAGAGAACGCCAGCGUUCGUGCUCCCGGUGAUAGAGACUCUCUGUCGGAGCCGUGGCUUCCUCCUCCUCAUCGUACCUCAUGUUAGCAUUUCCCACCACUUGUCUAAAAUUGGACACCCUGGUGAGACCGGGCCUGCCCACAGUGGUCCUCCUCUCCUCCCUCCCCCCUCUCCUCCCUCCGCCGGGCAACCCACCGGACAAAUAUAAACCUUUUUUGU